AUAACGACUCUCGGCAACGGAUAUCUCGGCUCUCGCAUUGAUGAAGAACGUAGCGAACUGCGAUACUUGGUGUGAAUUGCAGAAUCCCGUGAACCAUCGAGUCUUUGAACGCAAGUUGCGCCCGAAGCCAUUUGGCCGAGGGCACGUUUGCCUGGGUGUCACA
rnacentral:rRNA from 1 species